rnacentral:rRNA from 1 species
UUUCUUUAGUAGCAGCGAGUGAACAAGAAAUAACCCUCCAUUGUAAUCCUUAAUUGGAGUUGUAAAUGGUUUAUUCUAUUUAUUAUAUUUAUAGAGAAUAUUAUAUUCGUUAUUAAUAGAAUAGAAUAAUGUCUUGAGUAGAGCUGCUUGGUAGUGCAGUUUGAAUAAAGGUAGAAUGAAAUAUCUAAGGUUAAAUAUAAUGGUAUACCGAUAGAAAAUAAGUACUGCGAAGGAACUUGUGAAAAUGUGUGGNGUUUAGCCNNAUUU